rnacentral:tRNA from 1 species
GGUAAGAUGGCUGAGUUUAUAGGCAAUAAAUUGUAAAUUUAUCAACGAAAGGUUUUUCUCUUACCA